rnacentral:misc_RNA from 1 species
AGUCGUAACAAGGUUUCCGUAGGUGAACCUGCGGAAGGAUCAUUACUGGUAGACCACAACGCACUUAGGAUUUUAUCUCUCACGGGGUAUCUUCUUAAGGGUCAGACCAGAUAGUAGACCUAACCUUUUAAUUGACCUGUUAUGGGUCUAAAAAAAAGGGGUGGUCUUUGAACUAGGCAAUGCUGAGAGGACUCUAAGUCCAAUCGGUAAGGCUUAGGAGCACUAUGGUUUCUAAUAAACCUAUUACAACCCAUUACGAUGGAUGUCUAGGUUCCCAC